rnacentral:misc_RNA from 1 species
UUUCCGUAGGUGAACCUGCGGAAGGAUCAUUAUUGUAUAACCGAGGUGCGAGGGCUGUCGCUGACCCGAAAGGUCGUGCACGCUCGAGCGCUCUCACACACAUCCAUCUCACCCCUGUGUGCACCACCGCGUGGGUCCCCCUUUGGCUUGUUCGGAGGGGGGCUUACGUUUUCACAAAGACUUUGUAUGCAGUGUAGAAUGUAUUUUUUGUUUUUGCGAUCACGCAAUCAAUACAACUUUCAACAACGGAUCUCUUGGCUCUC